rnacentral:rRNA from 1 species
CCCUUAGAUGUUCUGGGCCGCACGCGCGCUACACUGAUAAUGUCAACAAGCUUUACCUUGGCCGAUAGGUCUGGGCAAUCUUCGAACUAUUAUCGUGAUGGGGCUAGAUUAUUGCAACAAUUAAUCUUAAACGAGGAAUUCCUAGUAAGCGCGAGUCAUCAGCUCGCGUUGAUUACGUCCCUGCCCUUUGUACACACCGCCCGUCGCUCCUACCGAUUGGAUUGGCUGGUGAAGCGUUCGGAUUGUGGGUUCGGAGCGGUUCGCCGUUCUGGGCUUGCGAGAAGUUCGUUAAACCCUCCUAUCUAGAGGAAGGAGAAGUCGUAACA